UGGGGAAUAUUGCACAAUGGGCGCAAGCCUGAUGCAGCCAUGCCGCGUGUGUGAAGAAGGCCUUCGGGUUGUAAAGCACUUUCAGCGAGGAGGAAGGUGGUGAGCUUAAUACGCUCAUCAAUUGACGUUACUCGCAGAAGAAGCACCGGCUAACUCCGUGCCAGCAGCCGCGGUAAUACGGAGGGUGCAAGCGUUAAUCGGAAUUACUGGGCGUAAAGCGCACGCAGGCGGUUUGUUAAGUCAGAUGUGAAAUCCCCGGGCUCAACCUGGGAACUGCAUUUGAAACUGGCAAGCUAGAGUCUCGUAGAGGGGGGUAGAAUUCCAGGUGUAGCGGUGAAAUGCGUAGAGAUCUGGAGGAAUACCGGUGGCGAAGGCGGCCCCCUGGACGAAGACUGACGCUCAGGUGCGAAAAGCGUGGGGAGCAAAACAGGAUUAGAUACCCUGGUAGUCCACGCUGUAAACGAUGUCGAUUUUGGAGGUUGUGCCCUUGAGGCGUGGCUUCCGGAGCUAACGCGUUAAAUCGACCGCCUGGGGAGUACGGCCGCAAGGUUAAAACUUAAAUGAAUUGC
rnacentral:rRNA from 1 species